GUAAGAGACCAUGCUGAACAGAUAACAUCCGAUGGUAUCAUUUUGGAUGUGAUAAAAUAAGAGACCAUGCUGAACAGAUAACGUAAGAGACCAUGCUGAACAGAUAACAUCCAACGGUAUCAUUUUGGAUGUGAUAAAAGUGAGAGACCAUGCUGAACAGAUAACA